CCUUAGCUGCGUCUGAAAGUCGAGAGUCGCCUCGUGAACCGCUUUCUCUAUAUCGAAGCUACUCUCUGCCUCAUCCGCCGUUGCACGUUCCGGGUGCAACCGAGCUUCAUCCGCGUACAACUGAGCUUCUUCUUCGAGAAGUGCGGUUACAUCCACCUCCGCGGAUGAUGAGGACGGCUGGCUGUAGCUAUAUUGACCCAUUAUCGUUAACCUCCACCAUAAGAGACAAACAAGCAGCACAGAUUAGCAACGAUCUUCAUAAAAGAGAAAGACACACAAUCAUAUCGACAUAGACACACAAAAUCGAGAAGACACGAAUUGAAUUUCAAUGAAUCCUUUAUCUAACCAAAAUCGAGAAGAAACAAAAUGAACAAAGCGAAAGAAACGAUAUAAACCAAAACCCCUCUUUCGUUUUAUACCAAAAUCGAUCCCAUGCCCAAAUUUUAAAACGGAAAAUCCCAAAAUCGAAAAAAAAAACCCUUGAUUGACAGGAAAAGAAGAAACAGCGACUCUAGAUCGAUGAAAAUAGCAGACAAGCCUUCGAUUUACCUUCAGGAUGCGAGGGAGACCAAUCGCGAUGGUGGGUUUACGAAAUCGCCGUCGAGAGUCGAGAGCGUCGAGAGAAAUUUUUUUUUUCUUUCCGUCGGUCGAAUGACCUAAUUUUUCUCAA
rnacentral:lncRNA from 1 species